AAAUUGUUGCUAUUAGUUUUUUAACAGGGUAGUGCUUAGCGCUUAUAAUAAUUAGCAGUUGCUUCAUUUAAUUCUUAUAACUGCAUAAUGACUACCGAGGCUAGAUGCAAAGAAUUAAUAAAGAAGCGCGCUUCAAUUAAGGCUAAGCUUACACAGUUUAUCGCUUACUUAAAUACUGCGAAAACUUGUGAUCAACUCAGUGAUUCGCAGUUAGUGGAAUUAGACAUGCGUAUUAAAAAACUUGAUGAUUCAUACAACUCUUUUGAUACUUACCAGAGCGAAUUGGAGAUGCUGGCUGAGGAUCCUGCCGAGCAAUAUGGUGAACGCGAGCUGUUCGAGCGGUCUUACUACAAAGAGAUUGCCGCCGCUCGGGAGCUGGUGGACAGGCACCGCAGCCAUCGCGCCAAGGAGGUUCAAUCCGAGGUAGGCUCCAAUGAAUGCCCAACAGUAGUGUCUUAUAAGCACAACAAUGUAAGGUUGCCAAAAAUUAAUUUGCCGCACUUCAGCGGUGGUUAUCAGAAUUGGCUGGAGUUUAAAGACAUUUAUGUUUCCUUAAUUCAUUCUGAGACAAGUAUCGACAAUAUUAACAAGUUUCACUACCUACGCGCCUCUCUUCAUGGAAGCGCGGCGUUGGUAAUUAGGAGCUUGGACUUUAAGGGGGAUAACUACGAUGCCGCUUGGAAACUCCUUUGUGAACGAUACGACAACAAACAGUUGCUUGUCAAUAAUCACGUGCAGGCACUUUUUAAUAUUGAACAGGUGCAUAAAGAGUCAAGUGUAGCCUUGCGCCAGAUUGUUGACAACACAAAAAAGAAUUUAAAUGCCUUAGCAACUUUAGACCAGCCCGUACAGCAUUGGGAUACAUUAAUUAUCCACAUAAUGGCAGCCAAAUUAGACGGAAUUACAAGUAGGGAAUGGGAAGAACAUAGGAAUCAGUUGACAAACCCUCCUGCACUUAGCGAUUUUAUAACAUUUCUUACCAAUAGGUGCAAUCUUUUGGAAACCUUAGAAGAAGCCAAGCAUAACAGGGUUAGGACGGACACGUCUGUCAUCAAUAAACCAAAAAGCCUUCUGGCUUCAGCAAGUAACGUUAGUAAACCUAAAACAUAUAACGUAACUUGCCCUUUAUGUAAUAAAGCUCAUUACGUCUUCAAUUGCGAAAAUUUCAGGGCUUUGCCAGUAGAACAACGCGUGCUUAAGGCAAAGGAAUUUAAGGUAUGCCUAAAUUGCUUACGUCCCGGUCAUAACGAUAGUAAGUGCAAACUUAGUCACUGCAAGUAUUGCAAGACUAAGCAUAACACACUUCUUCACGUCCAUACGGAACCUAAGACCGCGUCAGAACACUUAGCCUUUUCCGCGAAUGCCCACAAUGUUGAUGAAUCCGAGCAUGUCUUGCUUUCAACAGCCCUAGUCAAGGUGCGCGAUAGUGAGGGAAAAUUGCACAGCGCCAGGGUCUUAUUAGAUAAUGCCAGUACAUCUAAUUACAUAACUAGGGACUUAUCUAAGAAACUGAAUCUGCCGGUUAAAAAUGUCAACACUACAGUGUCCAUGCUUGAGAAGCAUGAAUCAAAUAUCACCCAAUCAUGCUCUCUUAAAUUGGAGUCAUAUGAUGGGGGUUAUAGCACUGACAUAAAGUGCAGCAUAUUGUCCGACAUUACGUCACCAAUACCUUAUACAUACAUUGACGCAACGGACGUACCCAUACCUUCGGGAAUUUGCCUCGCCGAUCCGUCAUACACUGAACCCGCUGACAUUGAGAUUCUUCUUGGGGCUAAAAUCUUUUGGAGAGUUCUCGGCAGCAAUCGCAUUAUCUUAGGCAAAGAUGAUGAUCCCUUCCUCGUUGAGACAAGGCUAGGUUGGCUCUUAGUAGGCGCCAUAGAUCAACCAGCCUCUGUCAAACCAGUUUGCUUGUUCUUGACUGACAAACAAACUGACACGACUCUUACGAAAUUUUGGGAACUUGAUACCAUAUCCCCGAAACAUGACUUCACAUCGGACGAAAACACAUGUGAAGAACUUUUUAAUAAAACUACUAAGAGAGAUAAAGACGGACGUUUUGUGGUUACCGUUCCUCUUAAGGAAUCUCCCGAUGCUUUAGGAGACUCGUACGGGAUGGCCAAGCGUAGGUUUUUAUCUCUCGAACGCAGGUUAGAUAGGGACUCCUUAUUAAAGGAGCGCUAUGUAAAUUUCAUGGAGGAAUAUGAGGCUUUGGGUCACAUGAGUGAAACUUUGCCUUGCAGUUCAUUACCGUCGUAUUAUUUGCCCCACCACGCCGUGUUAAGAGAGUCUAGCACGACUACUAAGCUGCGUGUGGUAUUCGACGCUUCAGCUGCCACUACAUCAGGACAAUCUUUUAACGACAUCCAGUUAAUAGGACCCAGGGUUCAGGACGACUUAUUUUCCAUUUUACUACGGUUUCGUCAACAUAAAUAUGUAGUGUCAGCUGACAUCGAGAAAAUGUAUCGGCAAAUUCUUGUGGACGACGAACAACGUCAACUUCAGUUGAUCUUAUGGAGGGCAGACCCUUCAAAGCCGCUUAAAAUUUAUUCCCUUAAUACCGUGACUUACGGGACGUCAUCAGCUCCGUUUCUGAGUACACGGUGCCUCUUACAGCUAUCACAAGAAUCCAGUGACAAGCAAACGAAGGAAGCGAUCGCCAGGGAUUUUUAUGUAGACGACUUCCUAUCUGGCUCUCAUUCUAUAGAUGAUACUGUGGCACUAUGUCGUAAUGUAAUAGAUACGCUGGAAAAUGCUCAAUUCCACUUGCGUAAGUGGCAGUCUAAUAAUAAAGAAAUUCUUAAAGCCGUUGGUGAGGAUUCAUGUCUGACAGAAUGUGUGGAUCUCAGCGAGAACGAGCUGUCUAAAACAUUAGGCCUUAAUUGGAGAUGCGCUCAAGACAGUCUUACAUUUCGCAUAGACAUCUCGUUACCAAAGGUAGUCACUAAAAGACACAUUCUUUCAGUCAUAGCCCAAAUUUUUGACCCUUUAGGAUUAGUAACGCCUUGUAUCGUGCAGGCGAAAAUAAUCAUGCAGAAACUUUGGGUAAACCAGUGUUCUUGGGAUGAUCCGCUUACAGGAGACAUACUUACAUCCUGGGAAGACUUUGUAAAAACUCUGCCUUAUCUUAAUAAUAUCCAUAUACCUCGCUGGGUCUUGUGCAAUACUCCUACGGCUGUUGAUUUCCACGUCUUCACUGAUGCGUCGGAGAAAGCAUACGGAGCUUGCCUGUACGUCCGCUCCGUGGCCGGGGAUGGCUCAGUGAGUGUUCACCUACUGGCAUCUAAAAGUAAAGUCGCGCCGAUUAAAGUCACAACUAUUCCGCGUCUCGAGCUUUGCGGGGCCUUAUUAGGCGCAAGAUUGUGUACAAAGGUUCUUGAGUCACUUACCCGGAAACCAGACCAUUGCGUAUUUUGGUGUGACUCGAUGAGUCAUGGGUUGGCUAUCAUCUUCUCCUUGUUCAUUACGUCCUUUUGUCAAAAACCGGAUAUCAGAGAUCCAGGAAAGCUCCAGAGCCGCUUCUUGGCGCUACGUGCCUUCAAAGGAGAAUCCUGCAGAUCUGGUGUCUCGAGGUUUAGGUGCCGACCUCAUAAUGAACUCUUCCUUGUGGUGGUCGGGACCAUCCUUCUUGAAACAGGACAUGGCCUAUUGGCCGACUGCACCAAAGUCUAGUAACCAGUCUCCACUGCCAGAGAUGUUACCGGCCAAGGCAUUUGUCGCAUGUCCCGCCCCUAAUAACGCUGAUAACCAAAUAGAACAUUUAAUUAAAAACAAAUCAUCUUAUUCAAAAUUGCAACGGGUAAUAGCGUAUAUUCUUAGAUUCAUACACAAUUGUAAAAAAGAAAAUACUAAGACAACCGGUGGUCUUAACUUAGUUGAGCUAGAAUCGGCUUCAGUUCUACUUCUUCGCAGGUCCCAACAAGACUCAUUUCCUGACGAGUAUGAGCUUCUUAAAACAGGAAAACCAUUGCCAAAGAAAAGCCGGCUUAGUUCGCUAUCGCCAUUUUUUGAUUCAGGGCUUAUUAGAGUCGGGGGUCGACUGGUUAACUCAUAUUAUGACUAUGGCACAAAGCAUCCUAUAGUCAUCUGUAGUAAGCAUCAUCUCGCAAGGUUGCUUUUUAAAAUGUUCCACUUACGUCUACUUCACGCGCCUCCUCAAUUACUUCUAGCGACUAUAAAACUUAACUACUGGCCGCUCGGAGGAAGAAACUUAGCAAAACAGGUUGUCCAUACUUGUCUCAAAUGUGUUCGAUUGAAAGGUGAAACAGUGCAACCAAUAAUGGGUAACUUGCCGAAAGAAAGGUUGCACCUUGAAUAUCCGUUCCUUGAAACAGGCACCGAUUACGCCGGUCCAAUUCUUAUAGCUGACCGCAAAGGUAGAGGGUGUAGGCUCGUAAAGGCCUAUAUUUGCAUAUUUGUGUGUUUAGCAUCCAAGGCACUUCAUUUGGAGCUUGUUUCGGAUUUGACCAAGGAAGCUUUUAUGGCAGCUCUUAACCGAUUUAUUGGUCGUCGUGGCAAGCCAAGGGUACCAGCGCAUCGAGUUCCUUAAACAGCACUUCUGGAACAGGUUCUCCACUGAGUAUAUUUCUGGCCUGCAACAGAGAACCAAAUGGCAGAGCUCAAGGGGCAAACUCGACGUCGGAACCAUGGUAGUAAUCAAGGACAAGAAUCUACCGCCGCUUAUGUGGCUGCUCGGCCGCAUUGUCCAAGUACUGCCUGGCAGAGAUGGCAUCGCAAGAGUAGCCGACAUAAAGACGAAAAAGGGAGUCAUUCGUCGGGCCUUCAACACAAUUUGUCCUCUACCCAUCCAAGAUCUUGAAGACCCAAGCUCUUCAAUGCCGGGAGUAUAUGUUGGUAACAAUACCGCCGC